rnacentral:lncRNA from 1 species
UUGAGAUGAGAAAUAUAGACACAGGAAAGGGGAUGACCAAUAAUUAUUUUUCUCAACAAGCAUAGCUCUUUCUUUCUACGGCUAGUCUUUCUAACUAGUUGCUAACUUGACCUAGAUCUCAAAUAAAACGCUCCAUUAUUAUAUUCGGCUAAUUGAUUCCAACUGAACAGCCUUAUUUACCACUUCUAGCGUGUGAAAAUUUAGCUUGUGCAACUAAGACUCCAUUGAUGGAGCUUUGAAGAAGGAAAAAUACCUGAGGGAAUUUUAUAACUGUC